UACGUAGGCAGCGAGCGUUGUUCGGAAUCACUGGGCGUAAAGGGUGCGUAGGCGGGUUUUUAAGCCAGGGGUGAAAUCCUGGAGCUCAACUCCAGAACUGCCUUUGAUACUGAGGAUCUUGAGUUCGGGAGAGGUGGGUGGAACUGCGAGUGUAGAGGUGAAAUUCGUAGAUAUUCGCAAGAACACCAGUGGCGAAGGCGGCUCACUGGCCCGAUACUGACGCUGAGGUACGAAAGCGUGGGGAGCAAACAGG
rnacentral:rRNA from 1 species